rnacentral:rRNA from 1 species
GACGAACGCUGGCGGCGUGCUUAACACAUGCAAGUCGAACGGAAAGGCCCUGCUUUUGUGGGGUGCUCGAGUGGCGAACGGUUGAUUAACACGUGAGUAACCUGCCCUUGACUUUGGGUUAACUUCAGGAAGCUGGGGCUAAUACCGGAUAGGAGCUCCUGCUGCUUGGUGGGGGUUGGAAAGUUUCGGCGGUUGGGGAUGGACUCGCGGCUUAUCAGCUUGUUGGUGGGGUAGUGGCUUACCAAGGCUUUGACGGGUAGCCGGCCUGAGAGGGUGACCGGCCACAUUGGGACUGAGAUACGGCCCAGACUCCUACGGGAGGCAGCAGUGGGGAAUAUUGCACAAUGGGCGGAAGCCUGAUGCAGCAACGCCGCGUGCGGGAUGACGGCCUUCGGGUUGUAAACCGCUUUCGCCUGUGACGAAGCGUGAGUGACGGUAAUGGGUAAAGAAGCACCGGCUAACUACGUG